GGCAGUCAGAUUCCUCAAGGCAAAGACAGUGCCCUUCUGUCCUCAUCAUCCUCA
rnacentral:snoRNA from 1 species